CCAUCGAUCCGGCUGCGCACCUCCUCCCUGGCCUCGUUGCUCUCCCUGGCCCAGCAACAUCAUCCGCUCCCCUAGAAUGUUCCUCCCGGUGCGAAAGCCUGUCCUUUUGACUCCUAUUUCCGUCAUCGUUGCCCUCAGAUCUGGCAGCCCCCGGCCAUGACGCUGCCGGAUCUAGCCGCCUGGACCUCAACGCCCCAACCAAUACAGGCGCUCGCCGUAGCACCUUAGUACUAAGGUUGUUUUCUUCGUCGGCUCUCUCUCCAUCCACCUCCUACGCCAAAGCCAUGUAUCAGCCCACCUCCUCCUCAUUAGAGUGGCACCUGAUGUCGCCGAGUGGACCACAGUGUUGCCUUCACUCGCCUGUACCAGGUUUGAUCCUGUGGUUGAAGUUGAACACUGGGAACAUGGAGGAGAUGGUUCCAUAGGGUUCAAGUUCUACAACGAGGCCAUGGUCUCAAUUGGACCUCUCUAAAGAGCAACAAUAUAAAGCUUUUGAGCUUACGCACAUGAAUCUCCAAGAAUCCGGUGAUCUACUGAGCCAGUUGUAUGCUGGGCGAGAAAGAGAGGAACAGUAAACCUGACACAAUGACACACCCUUUGCCUGAUGACCAUUUCCAAUCAUGAUGACCUCCGGUCGGUGCUGAAGGAAUGAGAAACGGUACUGGAGGAAUUGUGAUCUAUGGCAAGGGUGAUGAUGUUUAUGAUGAUGAUUGUUAUGAUCUAUACAGUGAUGAGCAUUAUGAUCCAUAUGGUUAUUUAGGGUGACGAGUCUAAUGAUCAUUCUUGAAGACAUGCAACAAAGUGAAGUUAUGAAGUCCUGGUCAAUCUAGCUUACACAUAAUGCUUGGACCAUUAUAUUGUUUUGCAUUAUAAACUUCCUAGAUAGAUCAUGAUGAUUAGUGUAACUUUGAUGUAACUCUUGUGAUAUUUUGAAAGUUGUACUAAAUAUAAUAUAUGUUACUUGGUCAUGUGUGGG